CUCUCAGGAGCAAAAAAGAUUAUAAGAAGGGUUUUGAGCACUUGAAAGAUUGUUGAAAGCUUGUGGAUAUCUAAGAUUACAUGUAGUAAACUGCUACCUACAUAACUUCUGCCAGGAAUAAGACCAA